GACGAACGCUGGCGGCGUGCUUAACACAUGCAAGUCGAACGGAAAGGCCCUGCUUUUGUGGGGUGCUCGAGUGGCGAACGGGUGAGUAACACGUGAGUAACCUGCCCUUGACUUUGGGAUAACUUCAGGAAACUGGGGCUAAUACCGGAUAGGAGCUCCUGCUGCAUGGUGGGGGUUGGAAAGUUUCGGCGGUUGGGGAUGGACUCGCGGCUUAUCAGCUUGUUGGUGGGGUAGUGGCUUACCAAGGCUUUGACGGGUAGCCGGCCUGAGAGGGUGACCGGCCGAAGGGGGAAUGAUAGAACGACGGGAGGAGUACGGGAGGAAGCAGGGGGGGAGAGGGCAAAAGGGGCGGAAGCCUGAGGCAGCAUCGCCGGGGGCGGGAGGACGGCCGGCGGGGUGGAAACCGCUGUCGCCGGGGACGAAGGGUGAGGGACGGGAAUGGGUAAAGAAGCACCGGCGAACUACGGG
rnacentral:rRNA from 1 species